UUUUUUUUAGGCAGAAAAUUUGUAACAGAAAGGAACUGCAGAAACAGAACAGUUGCUGCAACACCCUGCAAAGAAGCACAGGAUGGAGACCCACAUGAAGGAAGCAGGAGGAGCAACCAGAACCACAACUGAUGUGAGGAUGAAGGACUGAGUGAAGGGAGAAGAUGGAGUAGAGGCACAGAGGAAAACAUUGUGGGUUGACAAGAGAGGCUCUGUAGGUCUGGGUUGGAGGUGUACGUGGCCUCUGCCAACAACACCAAGGUUGAGCACUCCUGACACCUUGCAGAUUGAUCAAAGGUAAGAUCAAGGUCACUUUAUUUUCAGGAGGCAUUUGCUGUUCACUUUGAGGGAGUCAAGAUUUUACCCUAGGAGAACACAGAUCUGAUUACAUACAUAAUAUUAUAAUAAUAUUUAUAUAUAUAUAUAUAAUUCCUGCAUAAUUUCAGGUUUAUUUCCUUCUUACAUCUCUGGUUUUAUUUAUUUAUUUAUUUGUAAUUUUUCAACAUAGUGCCCAGUCUGUCCUUGCCUUUUGGUGUCCAGAGAGAUGUAGUCUGAUUCCUAAUGUUCUCAGCUUUUUAUUUCUUCAGUGAGGAUAUUUAAAAUCAGAAGAUUAGCCCAAAUGCUAAGA
rnacentral:lncRNA from 1 species